GGCGUCCACUCUCGUCGGUCUCAGUUCAGGUGCAUUUGUGGGCAAUUUCAAGGGUUUUGUGUGACUAAAGUCAACAUUUUUUAAACGAACAAUUGCGCGUAGAAGGAAGAGGACAAGCAUUUUGUCUGUGGUAGUUCCACGGGAUAUUUUGCUGGGAUGUUUCUGCUUGAAGAGCGAGUGUGUGGGCGAGCAGUCGGAGACAAAAGUGCCGCUAGCAGGCUACUUCCUGGUUCAUGGUGGCCUUUGGAAGACUUUGGGCCGUACUACUUGUGAUUCUGUGGCGAGGGAACAGUCCCAUCUUGACGCAAACAGCAAAAAUAGACUACAAAUUCCUCCAGCAAAAGUACAGGACAUAUAUCCAAUAUGCAUGUAUUGUUGACGUGUGUAUGUUGCAUACUCCGAUGCAGCAGGUGGCAGUAUGCACUUGUCAAGCCAUGUCUGCACCUCGCCAGCUUUAUCUCAAACUUACAACGAUGCGACACUUAUGAUUCUGGAGCUAUACCAUUCACAUCUAUUUGAACAAGCUCCAGCACCCCCCGCAACCCCAAAAGGGACAAGCGGUAGAAAAUGGGUGGAUGUCUUUGUUAGCUGGCGCUGCAGGCUACCUCCUGGUCAUUGAGGACGACAUAAGAAGUGCUCAAUAGAAGAAUGGCACGUCAGCAUCCUGCAAUCAAAAUGUACGUCAGAAAGAUAUUAAGGACUGGAGUGGAGCAGUGCCAACAACAACAACAACAGAGGGGAGGCACAAAGUCCAUAGAGCUUGCUGAGAGAAAGGAGGACAGCACAUCUCUCUGGCAUUAUCUUUGGAGCUUGGAGGUCUUUGCUCUACUUUUGUGACCGCCUUGCAAACUCCAGAUUGUGUGAUGAAGACCAGAAGCUUCCAGCCUUGAUGAAGCUUCUAAUGUCACCUUUUUUACCAAGGCCAGCAGGGAUGUGAUGCUACAUGCUAAACUAGCGGGGAGUACAAGCCUAGUGCUGAAAGAUAUAAACAUCCCAUCAGUCGGCAGACAUUGUACAGGCACUUCUGCACAUUUCUAUCCUGGCAGAGUGGAAAGGAACAUAGCGAUCCUGCGGGGAGGACACCAGAACCACGUUCUUGAAGAACUGCAGACCUGACACACACACACACACACACACACACACAAUACUGACGUGGCUGAGCAGAUACUGACCUGGCUGAGCAGAUACUGACGUGGCUGAGCAGAUACUGACCUGGCUGAGCAGAUACUGACCUGGCUGAGCAGAUACUGACCUGGCUGAGCAGAUACUGACCUGGCUGAACAGAUACUGACCUGGUUUCUGGCUGAGCAGAUACAGGAAGGUGUGACGAGGAUCCACCUGGUCUCUGAAGUGCUGAGCGGUCAUAAAUCUGCUGCGGAGACACACUGUGUGAGGCUCGUCUCAUAACCCCGUCUCCUGGUGCCAAGCACCUCCGCCGCAGAAUGCACCGCCCGACGGGAGCGCCGCGGCCACACCAACCAAAGCCCACACACAAACCCUCCACGUGCAAGAACGAAUCCACCCAAAAAAAGUCACUUAACAAGAAGCAAAAACAACAAUGCUCGCGCUGGAGGAGCCGACCGCAGGGACACAACAUUAGUGUUCCCAGGUGAGGACCAGACAGCGAGAGGAAGGUGUGCAGUCUGGACAGGUAACAUCUAAAGCGAGGUCUGGUCAGCACUGAGCGGAUGAUGAUGUUCCCCAGAGAGUGACCGAUGAAGCUGCAUUGAUAUUAAAAAUUGACAUUUUAAAGUCGAUGAAGUGAGAAGAUGAAUCAUUCCAUUUGAUGGGAGCAGCAGUCUGACGCCUUCUACUGGCAGAAAGAAGUACUGCCUGAUGAAAACAAAUAUGUUUACAUUAAAUACUGUUUAUAAGCA